GAUUGAAAAUAGCAAAUUUAUCGAAAGGUAAAGACGCAAAGCUACGAGUCUAAAGUCCUGUAGGACAACGAUAGUCGGGUUGCCAAU
rnacentral:ncRNA from 1 species